CUUAACAAAUACCAUCAUUAUUAUUAUUCAACCAUUUAUUUGUUUUGAUUUUUGUAGGUGAAAGUGUUUUUAUGUUCAUUUCCCCCAUGGGAAUGUGGCCACUAUUCAAGUACUUAGUACAGUACAUUACACCAGAGGGUGCUCAAUAAGUGCUACGCUCAAUCAAUCAAGGAAUGAAGUUGUUCCAGUAGGGAUAAGGAAGACGAAAUUUGCAAGGGGGUGUCUCUCGUGAACCGUUCAUGGCUUCUAACGUUACACGGUGCUGUUUCUUCUUCACUCACGACUGUGACUUCCAGGGCAAGGUGUGCAGUCUGAACCAUCGAGACUGUAUUCCACAUUCCAAGUGAAAUUAUGGAUUUAUGGAUGCUAUCAAAUUUGCAAUAAAAGGUUCUAAAAGAUU